GUGGGGAAUCUUGCGCAAUGGGCGAAAGCCUGACGCAGCCAUGCCGCGUGGAUGAUGAAGGUCUUAGGAUUGUAAAAUCCUUUCACCGGUGAAGAUAAUGACUGUAGCCGGAGAAGAAGCCCCGGCUAACUUAGUGCCAGCAGCCGCGGUAAUACGAAGGGGGCUAGCGGUGCGCGGAUUUACUGGGCGUAAAGGGCGCGUAGGCGGACAUUUAAGUCAGGGGUGAAAUCCCGGGUCUCAACCUCGUAACUGCCUUUGAUACUGCGUGUCUUGAGUAUGAGAGAGGUGUGUGGAACUCCGAGUGUAGAGGUGAAAUUCGUAGAUAUUCGGAAGAACACCAGUGGCGAAGGCGACACACUGGCUCAUUACUGACGCUGAGGCGCGAAAGCGUGGGGAGCAAACAGGAUUAGAAACCCCGGUAGUCC
rnacentral:rRNA from 1 species